GCCAAACGGCUCUAUAAUGCAGUCGAGCGAACAGAAGGGAGCUUGCUCCCGGAUGUUAGCGGCGGACGGGUGAGUAACACGUGGGUAACCUGCCUGUAAGACUGGGAUAACUCCGGGAAACCGGAGCUAAUACCGGAUAGUUCCUUGAACCGCAUGGUUCAAGGAUGAAAGACGGUUUCGGCUGUCACUUACAGAUGGACCCGCGGCGCAUUAGCUAGUUGGUGGGGUAAUGGCUCACCAAGGCGACGAUGCGUAGCCGACCUGAGAGGGUGAUCGGCCACACUGGGACUGAGACACGGCCCAGACUCCUACGGGAGGCAGCAGUAGGGAAUCUUCCGCAAUGGACGAAAGUCUGACGGAGCAACGCCGCGUGAGUGAUGAAGGUUUUCGGAUCGUAAAGCUCUGUUGUUAGGGAAGAACAAGUGCGAGAGUAACUGCUCGCACCUUGACGGUACCUAACCAGAAAGCCACGGCUAACUACGUGCCAGCAGCCGCGGUAAUACGUAGGUGGCAAGCGUUGUCCGGAAUUAUUGGGCGUAAAGGGCUCGCAGGCGGUUUCUUAAGUCUGAUGUGAAAGCCCCCGGCUCAACCGGGGAGGGUCAUUGGAAACUGGGAAACUUGAGUGCAGAAGAGGAGAGUGGAAUUCCACGUGUAGCGGUGAAAUGCGUAGAGAUGUGGAGGAACACCAGUGGCGAAGGCGACUCUCUGGUCUGUAACUGACGCUGAGGAGCGAAAGCGUGGGGAGCGAACAGGAUUAGAUACCCUGGUAGUCCACGCCGUAAACGAUGAGUGCUAAGUGUUAGGGGGUUUCCGCCCCUUAGUGCUGCAGCUAACGCAUUAAGCACUCCGCCUGGGGAGUACGGUCGCAAGACUGAAACUCAAAGGAAUUGACGGGGGCCCGCACAAGCGGUGGAGCAUGUGGUUUAGUUCUAAUCAACGCGAACAACCUUAACAGGUCUUGACAUCCUCUGACAACCCUAGAGAAUAGGGCAUUCCCUUCUGCGCACCGAGUGACCGGGUGGAGCC
rnacentral:rRNA from 1 species